UGUCAAACCAUUCCUGAAUACUUUCCUCUCUUGCAGUCCCGCCCUUCAGUAUCAUGAAAAACAAGAACUUUUUGUUUGAAGAUUUAGCAAUACAUUACUAAUACAAAUGUUAAAAAGCUUCACAUCUAAGGCAUUGACAAUUUCCAGAUUGCACAGCAUUAGUUGUGUCACCUACAGAGCCAGAACUUAAUCAGUGCAGUAUCUCAUGAUCUGAAACUUGAUCUGGCUUCAUCAAUGGUUUAGUGUUGUCGUAACUCUGGUUGUACUUUACCUGGGUAGUAUAAGUCAACCAAUUGUAGUAUCAAGCUAUUGGUUGACUUAUACUACACGCGUAAAAUUACAAUCAAGAACCGACCCAUCCAAGUUAGCCAGCAAAAUUUUGGUGCAAUCUUUGAAAUUGGUCUGAAGAAAAAAAAUGCUGCAAUUGAUUGGCUUAUACUACACAGAUCGUGGAAUAAGCCACUAUUCCAGAGAAAACGACAGCUGUGUCUCGGUUUCUUGAUUUCAACCGCAGGAACAAGAUAAUCUUUCAUCAUAUCUGUCUACCUAUGUGUAAGAUAUCUGCCAUAAUUUGAUUUGAUUUCUCAAGGAAGACGAAGAACUUUUGGGUGGUCUCUCAUAAAGUUAAUAUCUUUGCAUAUAAGCAUCAGUAUUGCUGAGGCCGAGUUGCCUCCCAGCUCCUACAGAUCUAUUUGUGGUCUGUGGAUCUUUCCAAGUAUUAGCCUUUGAUGAAGAUGUUGCUGAGCUCGACUUACUGAAUGAGCUAGGGGAUAUACAAAGAUUAGCCUUUUCUACUUUCGAGAGGAUGGAUCAGGAGAUUUCUCAGUGAUCAUGAAAUUGUUCCACAAAUCAUAGCAUUGGGCUUUCUAUGGGAAGACAAGUAGAACAUUAAGUGAUCGACUCUUCUAAAACUUCUAACUUUGUUACUGUUGGUAUUAAGGUGUGAAUGUGAAGUGAGAGAGCUAGUAAUCUAGGAGUGAAGGAGAAUACUUGACCUGUGAAUUUUUGCUAUUUGGAUCCUUUUUGUAAUGAAACUGUAAGCUUCAUUUGAUUUUUGUUAA
rnacentral:lncRNA from 1 species